CUAUUGAUAAGCUAAAUAUUAAGCUAGUGGGCUCAUAACCCAAAUAUGGAAAAACCUCAGUAGA
rnacentral:tRNA from 1 species